rnacentral:rRNA from 1 species
AGAGUUUGAUCAUGGCUCAGAACGUACGCUGGCGGCACGCCUAACACAUGCAAGUCGAACGAAGUAGCAAUACUUAGUGGCAGACGGGUGAGUAACAUGUAGGUAUCUGCCCUUUGGCCUGGAAUAACACGAGGAAACUUGUGCUAAUACCGGAUAAGUCUUUACGGAGAAAGCUUUAUGCACCAUUGGAUGAGCCUGCACUUGAUUAGUUUGUUGGUGGGGUAAUGGCCUACCAAGACUGUGAUCAAUAGCUGAUUUGAGAGGAUGAUCAGCCACAUUGGGACUGAGACACGGCCCAAACUCCUACGGGAGGCAGCAGUGGGGAAUCUUGCACAAUGGAGGAAACUCUGAUGCAGCGAUGCCGCGUGAGUGAAGAAGGCCCUUGGGUUGUAAAGCUCUUUCGUCGGGGAAGAAAAUGACUGCACCCGAAUAAGAAGGUCCGGCUAACUUCGUGCCAGCAGCCGCGGUAAUACGAAGGGACCUAGCGUAGUUCGGAAUUACUGGGCUUAAAGAGUUCGUAGGUGGUUGAAAAAGUUGGUGGUGAAAUCCCAGAGCUUAACUCUGGAGCUGCCAUCAAAACUUUUCAGCUAGAGUUUGAUAGAGGAAAGCAGAAUUUCUAGUGUAGAGGUGAAAUUCGUAGAUAUUAGAAAGAAUACCGAUUGCGAAAGGCAGCUUUCUGGAUCAUUACUGACACUGAGGAACGAAAGCAUGGGUAGCGAAGAGGAUUAGAUACCCUCGUAGUCCAUGCCGUAAACGAUGUGUGUUAGACGUUGGAAAUUUAUCUUCAGUGUCGCAGCGAAAGCGAUAAACACACCGCCUGGGGAGUACGACCGCAAGGUUAAAACUCAAAUGAAUUGACGGGGACCCGCACAAGUAGUGGAGCAUGUGGUUUAAUUCGAAGAUACGCGCAGAACCUUACCAACACUUGACAUGUUCGUCGCGACUUUAAGAGAUUAAAGUUUUCGGUUCGGCCGGACGAAACACAGGUGCUGCAUGGCUGUCGUCAGCUCGUGUCGUGAGAUGUUGGGUUAAGUCCCGCAACGAGCGCAACCCUCACUUUUAGUUGCCAUCAUUAAGUUGGGCACUCUGAAAGAACUGCCAGUGAUAAGCUGGAGGAAGGUGGGGAUGACGUCAAGUCCUCAUGGCCCUUAUGUGUUGGGCUACACACGUGCUACAAUGGUACUUACAACAGGAAGCAAAACGGCGACGUUAAGCAAAUCCUUAAAAAGUACCUCAGUUCGGAUUGCACUCUGCAACUCGAGUGCAUGAAGCUGGAAUUACUAGUAAUCGUGGAUCAGCGUGCCACGGUGAAUGCGUUCCCGGGUCUUGUACACACCGCCCGUCACACCAUGGGAGUUGGUUCUACCUUAAGGCAAGGUUUCAAACCCUUGACCACGGUAUAGUCAGCGACUGGGGUGAAGUCGUAACAAAGGUAACC